rnacentral:rRNA from 1 species
AUUGAACGCUGGCGGCAUGCCUUACACAUGCAAGUCGAACGGCAGCACGGAGCUUGCUCUGGUGGCGAGUGGCGAACGGGUGAGUAAUAUAUCGGAACGUACCCAAGAGUGGGGGAUAACGUAGCGAAAGUUACGCUAAUACCGCAUACGAUCUAAGGAUGAAAGCAGGGGAUCUUCGGACCUUGUGCUCCUGGAGCGGCCGAUAUCUGAUUAGCUAGUUGGUGAGGUAAAGGCUCACCAAGGCAUCGAUCAGUAGCUGGUCUGAGAGGACGACCAGCCACACUGGAACUGAGACACGGUCCAGACUCCUACGGGAGGCAGCAGUGGGGAAUUUUGGACAAUGGGGGCAACCCUGAUCCAGCAAUGCCGCGUGAGUGAAGAAGGCCUCGG